rnacentral:rRNA from 1 species
UACGAAGGGGGCUAGCGUUGUUCGGAUUUACUGGGCGUAAAGCGCGUGUAGGCGGGUCGUUAAGUUGGGGGUGAAAUCCCGAGGCUCAACCUCGGAACUGCCUUCAAAACUGGCGACCUGGACUCAAGUAGAGGCAAGUGGAAUUGCGAGUGUAGAGGUGAAAUUCGUAGAUAUUCGCAGGAACACCAGUGGCGAAGGCGGCUCACUGGACCGGCAUUGACGCUGAGGUGCGAAAGCGUGGGGAGCAAACAGGAUUAGAAACCCUUGUAGU